ACUUUCUCAGAAUUCCAUGCACAGUAGUCCUGCAUCUUCCAAUUAUCAACAAACCACUAUCUCACAUAGCCCCUCCAGCCGGUUUGUGCCACCACAGACAAGCUCUGGGAACAGAUUUAUGCCACAGCAAAAUAGCCCAGUGCCUAGUCCAUAUGCCCCACAAAGCCCUGCAGGAUACAUGCCAUAUUCCCAUCCUUCAAGUUACACAACACAUCCACAGAUGCAACAAGCAUCGGUAUCAAGUCCCAUUGUUGCAGGUGGUUUGAGAAACAUACAUGAUAAUAAAGUUUCUGGUCCGUUGUCUGGCAAUUCAGCUAAUCAUCAUGCUGAUAAUCCUAGACAUGGUUCAAGUGAGGACUACCUACACAUGGUGCACAGGCUAAGUAGUGACGAUGGAGAUUCUUCAACAAUGAGGAAUGCUGCAUCUUUUCCCUUGAGAUCUCCACAGCCAGUAUGCUCCCCUGCUGGAAGUGAAGGAACUCCUAAAGGCUCAAGACCACCUUUAAUCCUACAAUCUCAGUCUCUACCUUGUUCAUCACCUCGAGAUGUUCCACCAGAUAUCUUGCUAGAUUCUCCAGAAAGAAAACAAAAGAAGCAGAAGAAAAUGAAAUUAGGCAAGGAUGAAAAAGAGCAGAGUGAGAAAGCGGCAAUGUAUGAUAUAAUUAGUUCUCCAUCCAAGGACUCUACUAAACUUACAUUAAGACUUUCUCGUGUAAGGUCUUCAGACAUGGACCAGCAAGAGGAUAUGAUUUCUGGUGUGGAAAAUAGCAAUGUUUCAGAAAAUGAUAUUCCUUUUAAUGUGCAGUACCCAGGACAGACUUCAAAAACACCCAUUACUCCACAAGAUAUAAACCGCCCACUAAAUGCUGCUCAAUGUUUGUCGCAGCAAGAACAAACAGCAUUCCUUCCAGCAAAUCAAGUGCCUGUUUUACAACAGAACACUUCAGUUGCUGCAAAACAACCCCAGACUUCUGUGGUACAGAAUCAACAACAGAUAUCACAACAGGGACCUAUAUAUGAUGAAGUGGAAUUGGAUGCAUUGGCUGAAAUUGAGCGAAUAGAGAGAGAAUCAGCUAUUGAAAGGGAGCGCUUCUCAAAAGAAGUUCAAGAUAAAGAUAAGCCUUUGAAAAAAAGAAAACAAGAUUCUUACCCACAGGAGGCUGGGGGUGCUACAGGAGGUAAUAGACCAGCUUCUCAGGAGACGGGUUCUACGGGAAAUGGGUCAAGGCCAGCAUUAAUGGUUAGCAUUGAUCUUCAUCAGGCAGGAAGAGUGGACUCUCAGGCUUCUAUAACUCAGGAUUCAGACUCCAUAAAAAAGCCUGAAGAAAUCAAACAAUGUAAUGAUGCACCUGUUUCUGUUCUUCAGGAAGAUAUUGUUGGAAGUCUUAAAUCUACACCAGAAAACCAUCCUGAGACACCUAAAAAAAAGUCUGAUCCUGAGCUUUCGAAGAGUGAAAUGAAACAAAGUGAAAGUAGAUUAGCAGAAUCUAAACCAAAUGAAAACCGAUUGGUGGAGACAAAAUCAAGUGAAAAUAAGUUAGAAACUAAAGUUGAGACCCAAACAGAAGAAAUUAAACAGAAUGAAAGCAGAACAACUGAAUGCAAACAAAACGAGAGCACCAUAGUUGAGCCUAAACAAAAUGAAAAUAGACUGUCUGACACAAAACCAAAUGACAACAAACAAAAUAAUGGCAGAUCAGAAACAACAAAGUCAAGGCCUGAAACCCCAAAGCAAAAGGGUGAAAGCCGGCCUGAGACUCCAAAACAAAAGAGUGAUGGGCAUCCUGAAACCCCAAAACAGAAGGGUGAUGGAAGGCCUGAAACUCCAAAGCAAAAAGGUGAGAGCCGCCCUGAAACUCCAAAGCAAAAAAAUGAAGGGCGACCUGAAACACCAAAACACAGGCAUGACAAUAGGAGGGAUUCUGGAAAGCCAUCUACAGAGAAAAAACCUGACGUGUCUAAACAUAAACAAGAUACUAAAUCUGACUCACCUCGGUUAAAAUCAGAACGAGCUGAAGCCUUAAAGCAGAGACCUGAUGGGCGAUCUGUUUCUGAGUCACUAAGACGUGACCAUGAUAAUAAACAAAAAUCAGAUGACAGGGGUGAAUCAGAGCGACAUCGAGGGGAUCAGUCUAGGGUUCGAAGACCAGAAACAUUGAGAUCCUCUAGUAGAAAUGAACACGGCAUUAAAUCUGAUAGUUCAAAAACUGAUAAACUAGAACGAAAACACAGGCAUGAAUCAGGGGACUCAAGGGAAAGACCAUCUUCUGGGGAACAAAAAUCAAGACCUGACAGUCCUCGUGUUAAACAAGGAGAUUCUAAUAAAUCAAGAUCUGAUAAACUUGGUUUUAAAUCACCAACUAGUAAAGAUGACAAAAGGACAGAGGGUAACAAGAGUAAAGUAGACACUAAUAAAGCACACCCUGACAAUAAGGCAGAAUUUCCAAGUUAUUUGUUGGGGGGCAGGUCUGGUGCGUUGAAAAAUUUUGUCAUUCCGAAAAUCAAGAGGGAUAAAGAUGGCAAUGUUACUCAGGAGACAAAGAAAAUGGAAAUGAAAGGAGAGCCGAAAGACAAAGUAGAAAAAAUAGGAUUAGUUGAAGAUCUAAAUAAAGGAGCUAAGCCUGUAGUUGUGCUACAAAAACUGUCUUUGGAUGAUGUUCAGAAACUUAUUAAAGAUAGAGAGGACAAAUCAAGAAGUUCCCUUAAACCUAUCAAGAAUAAACCAUCAAAGUCAAAUAAAGGUAGUAUAGAUCAAUCAGUGUUAAAAGAAUUACCCCCUGAACUCCUGGCAGAAAUUGAGUCCACCAUGCCACUUUGUGAACGUGUGAAAAUGAACAAACGCAAGCGUAGCACAGUUAAUGAAAAGCCAAAAUAUGCUGAAAUCAGUUCAGAUGAAGAUAAUGAUAGUGAUGAAGCUUUUGAAUAGCUGGCUUCUUCACUACACAGCUACCUCUCUACAACACUGUGAUCACCUGUCUUUGCACUAGACUUGCUAUACCUCGCCUGUCUUCCUACUGGUCCACUGAAAAAGUUCUUCUCUUUUAUCCCUAUCUUCCUUCUUCUGGAGCAAGAGAAUUGAGCCUAGCCAAGAGGGGUCAGCAACCUUGUUUGACUUAAACGGCAUUCAGUGGAAACAGACUAUGGGAGAUCUUCACUUGUGUGCCAACUGACUUAGUCAUAAUGACCAAAAGAAGUGGGAAGACCACCAGUGUUCUACUUUUUCCACCUAGUGUCCAUAGAUUGAGGUGUGACAAGCAAGGGCAGGAAGGACAGAUGCAUGCUGCCAUUUUUAAAUGUAUAUUGCUGAUGGAAGCCCUUCACCUCCUCCAAAGUUUUUAAUGUUAAUUUACUGAUUUUUUUUUAAUUGUGAGCUCUUGAGCUAUGAGCAGUAGACUAUGAAUACUGAACAAAUCUGAAAAAAGUUUUAAAAUUGAAAUAAAAUAUACAGCAAACUU
rnacentral:sRNA from 1 species